GACGAACGCUGGCGGCGUGCUUAACACAUGCAAGUCGAACGGAAAGGCCCUGCUUUUGUGGGGUGCUCGAGUGGCGAACGGGUGAGUAACACGUGAGUGACCUGCCCUUGACUUUGGGAUAACUUCAGGAAACUGGGGCUAAUACCGGAUAGGAGCUCCUGCUGCAUGGUGGGGGUUGGAAAGUUUCGGCGGUUGGGGAUGGACUCGCGGCUUAUCAGCUUGUUGGUGGGGUAGUGGCUUACCAAGGCUUUGACGGGUAGCCGGCCUGAGAGGGUGACCGGCCACAUUGGGACUGAGAUACGGCCCAGACUCCUACGGGAGGCAGCAGUGGGGAAUAUUGCACAAUGGGCGGAAGCCUGAUGCAGCAACGCCGCGUGCGGGAUGACGGCCUUCGGGUUGGAAACCGCUUUCGCCUGUGACGAAGCGUGAGUGACGGUAAUGGGUAAAGAAGCACCGGCUAACUACGUG
rnacentral:rRNA from 1 species